rnacentral:lncRNA from 1 species
CGUAGCUAUAAGUAGAAACGAAAUUGGUUUAAAUUCUUAAGAUAUGAAAGAUUAAAGUCGAAUUUUAUCAACUUCAAUUGUUCAAUAAAAGCAUUAGAAACGAAAUUUCGUCGUUACGAACGCGAUUUUCAGUUGUAAUGCUUACAGAAUUAUCAUUACACGCACUGACAGUAAGCAGAUACCAUUCGAAAAUUCAACAAAAGUGUUGUUCAUACCACCAGUUUGAUGUUAAAAACUGCAGUUUUGAUGAAAUCUCCGUAAGUUCUGGAAAAAAUUAUACAUUCACUAUACUAUCUAAAAUCCAAAUUGGGACCAGUACCGAAUCACAGGCGUCAUUGGAUACACAGGAACAAAUAACCCAAAAGAGAUAAGAGAAAAUCACAAGAAUUGAUAACAAGUAUGAUUUUUAUUAGUUCAAGUCUAUGCCUUAAUUGAAAAAAAACUAAAAGUAUAGUUAAGAUUACGAGUAAACUAAAUGGCUCUUGUUCCGCCCAGACUGUGUAGAUGUCGAUAUUCUACGUCAUAUCUUAAUUUAUCUCAAAUGUUUUCAAUUGUGAUGCGGUUUGUAUUAAUAAAUUUACUUAGCUUCUUUUUUUUUUUUUUUUACUUAUAAAGCUACCUUCGUGCCUUAUUUCUAAAGAUAUAUUCAAAUUUUGAGAGCACUUUCCUGGAAAUUGAGAUCGUUCCGAGAAAAACUGCCAUUACAUUUUAAUGCUUAUAAUGCACAUUAAUCUUUGG